rnacentral:rRNA from 1 species
ACGGGUGAGUAAUGCAUCGGAACGUGUCCUGUAGUGGGGGAUAACCUAGCGAAAGCUAGGCUAAUACCGCAUACGUCCUACGGGAGAAAGUGGGGGAUCGCAAGACCUCGCGUUAUAGGAGCGGCCGAUGCCGGAUUAGCUAGUUGGUGGGGUAAAGGCCUACCAAGGCAACGAUCCGUAGCUGGUCUGAGAGGAUGAUCAGCCACACUGGGACUGAGACACGGCCCAGACUCC